rnacentral:rRNA from 1 species
UACGUAGGGGGCAAGCGUUGUCCGGAAUCAUUGGGCGUAAAGCGCGUGUAGGCGGCUGAGUAAGUCUGCUCUGAAAGCCCGGGCGUCAACCCGGGACGGCGGUGGAUACUGCUCAGCUCGAGUCCGGAAGAGGAGUGUGGAAUUCCUGGUGUAGCGGUGAAAUGCGCAGAUAUCAGGAGGAACACCAAUGGCGAAGGCAGCACUCUGGGACGGUACUGACGCUGAGACGCGAAAGCGUGGGAGCAAACAGG